rnacentral:rRNA from 1 species
UACGAAGGGGGCUAGCGUUGCUCGGAAUCACUGGGCGUAAAGCGCACGUAGGCGGCUUCUUAAGUCAGGGGUGAAAUCCUGGAGCUCAACUCCAGAACUGCCUUUGAUACUGAGGAGCUUGAGUCCGGGAGAGGUGAGUGGAACUGCGAGUGUAGAGGUGAAAUUCGUAGAUAUUCGCAAGAACACCGGUGGCGAAGGCGGCAUCCUGGACCGGUAUUGACACUGAGGCGCGAAAGCCAGGGGAGCAAACGGG